rnacentral:lncRNA from 1 species
CAACAGACCGCCAAACAGACAGAGUUUUCCCUGUACGUUUUAGGCGUCACAAUCCAUACAAUACACGAGGUUCCAACCAGGAACAGUAUUCAAACACAGAUUGCAUAAGGAAGGUAUCGAAAACAUAAUUGCUAUGCUAUUACAAGCAUUCAUCUCAAAUUUUUAUUUUACAUUACAUUCAACUUCCAAAUACAAUCGACAUUAUUACAAAUUAUUACAAGUUUGUUUCUUUUCAUUUCCACCCC